rnacentral:lncRNA from 1 species
AAAUAAAAGUACAAACGUGUGUUGAAAGCAAUAUUUAAUAUAUGUGUUGUAAGUAAAUUCAAAUCUCUCAAGUUCCCCUUAUAUACAACUUUAAACAAAGAAUGCUAAGGACAAAGAAAAGAGUUUUUGAUGGAUUAAGAAACAAGGUAACCUAAGUAACUUCACAUUGGGAGUACGUGAUACAGAUAAUGAAAAUGGGCUUUAUCUGUAAAAUAAAAGAAAAAUGGCUUAUUUGCAGGUAACUUAUUACAAAGUUAGAUUUAUUGAAUAGAGGAGUACAUGUAUAAAAGCAAACAUGGCCAACAAUGUUGAUACAAAAAAUUUCGUUAGCCUGGAUUACUUUAUUCGUUUCAAAGGCUGCUUAACAGCUU